rnacentral:antisense_RNA from 1 species
GAACACACGACAUUGCUCACAUUGCUUCCAGUAUAUGUUUUUGCAUGAAACGCUAACGCAAGUUACGU